GUUUCUAUAGUUGAAUAACAACAAUGGUUUUUCAUGCCAUAGGUUGUGGUUAAAGUCCAUGUAGGAAUA
rnacentral:tRNA from 1 species